AGUCGUAACAAGGUUUCCGUAGGUGAACCUGCGGAAGGAUCAUUAACAAAUCUCAAAACAGUUUUGCCCAUGACGGGUCUGUGGACGCGAAAGUAUCCAUAGCCAGUCAUGGGUAUCACACAAACACAUAUUGAUUGACACAUUUCAGAAGACCAAGAACUUAAAUGUUAACAACUUUUAACAAUGGAUCUCUUGGCUCUUGCAACGAUGAAGAACGCAGCAAACUGCGAAACGUAAUGUGACCUGCAAUCUUCGUGAAUCAUCCAAUCUUUGAACGCAAUUUGCACCUCGUCGCUUCGGUGACAAGGUAUACUUGUUUGAGUAUCACAAACAACCUCACCCUCCCUUUUGGGUAUGUGGACUUGAGAGUUCUACUUUGCGGUAGUCUCUUUAAAAUCAGGUUUUGAAGUCUCAGCAUGAGAUGAUUAUUGGGAUAACAUCCUAACAAUAGUCAUUGUUUUGACUUGAACCCUUCAAUGGGUACAAAGCCACCUGUUCGCAGCAUCGCAAGGUGUUGUGACCAUCACUUUUAAGUUGAUCUCAAAUCAAGUAGGGAUACCCGCUGAACUUAAGUAUAUCAGUAAGCGGAGGAAAAGAAACUAACAAGGAUUCCCCUAGUAACGGCGAGUGAAGCGGGAAGAGCUCAAAUUUAAAAUCUGGUGUCCGUAUGGAUAUCCGAGUUGUAUUUGAAAGGGUCAUCUUUUGUAACCGGAUGUGGUCAAAGUUUCCUGGAAAGGAACAACAUAGAGGGUGACAUUCCCGUCUGGGCCAUGUUUUGGAAGCAGUAUAAAGAUGUCCCAAAGAGUCGGAUUGUUUGGGAAUGCAGUCCAAAAUGGGUGGUACAUUUCAUCUAAGGCUAAAUAUUGGCAAGAGACCGAUAGCGAACAAGUACCGUGAGGGAAAGAUGAAAAGAACUUUGAAAAGAGAGUUAAAUAGUACGUGAAAUUGUUAAAAGGGAAACGAUUGAGACCAGUGAUGCUGUGAUUCUGAAGCUUUGCCCUUCGGGGUGGGGUGGUUGGAUCAUUGGCAAGUCGACGCUCCUUUGGUUUUUUGGAUAAGACUUUUGGAAAGGUGGCUCCGUCUUCGGGCGGCUGCUUUAUAGUCCAAUUGGGAUACAGAAAACUGGAGGAGACUCGUCCCGAAAGGGGAAAGGAUUGUUGUAUGCAACUAGCAGCCUUUGGGCUCGUUAGAAGCUUGAUGAUUCCUGUCGACGAAAUGGUCUUAAACGACC
rnacentral:rRNA from 1 species